ensembl:snRNA U6 U6 spliceosomal RNA
GUGUUCGCUUUGGCAGCAUAUAUACUGUACUAAAAUUGGAAUGAUACAGAGAAGAUUAGCAUGGCCCUUGCACAAGAAUGACAAACAAAUUCAUAAAAAGCAUUCAUGGAUA